rfam:Oryza glumipatula chromosome 3, whole genome shotgun sequence.
UUUAAGCAUCGUUGUGAGUUUCCGUGUCCAAUGUUUGACUAUUCGUCUUAUUUGAAUUUUGUUGUGAUCAGUACUUUUAUUGUUAUUAGAUGAUAAAACAUGAAUAUUAUUUUAUAUGUGACUUUUUUUAUUUUUUUCAUAAAUUUUUCAAAUGAGACGGACGAUCAAAGUUAACAAGGAAACCAACAACUGCACUUAAA